UUUUUUUUUUUAAGACCAAGGAGAAGUGCAGUGGGGAAGUAAAAGGAGGACCUAAGACUAAUUUGAUGUAUAUAUAUUUUUUUACGGGUAAAUGUCAACAAGUAGCAAGAUGGUCUUCAAUGACCACAUAACAAAGAUGACUCGCUGCGUCUGUUGGUUGCCAUGGCCACCAAGAACACAUGAGUCCCGCAGUGACAGCUCAAAGGCCAUGCUGGGUAAACAUGGACUCCCUCGAGAAGACGACAGAAGGAGGAAGAGAAUCUCAAAUUUGGCAUCACUCCCACAGAUGGGAUAGCAGUGGUGAUGGGAGUGCCAUCAGCGCUGAGAUUUGUCUUACUCAGCAGUGAUCAUUAAUUCAUGAUGCACAGCUUAAUGGAUGUUAGGAUCGGGAACCUCUGCUAGAAAUGACUCAAGUUACAGAGGAACAAAAAAGCAAAAUCAGACUCGAUGUUGUUGUGCUCUAUUCAAAUUGAUUGUGCGUGUGGGGGGAAAUAGAACAAUCAAUGAAAGUACAUGACAACGUCACUCACUAGCCAACAAUGUACUGACAGAAGGAAAACAGCACCUUGAAGUUCUUUUUUUUGUGCUCAUCCGUAUUUGAUCCCCUUAAGGCGGCCUAACAUUGUCCCACUCCACCAUUGUGUGUCUCUAAUCCUGUGUGUUGGGGUAGCAUGUGGCUCAGAUGCACUUUAGCCCCUAAUGGACCCAGUUAUGGAGGAGAGCUGCAACCCUGUUGUCUAAAUUCAGGUCAAGUGUGUGCGCAUGCAUGCAUUUGUUGGCCCGCGUGUAGUUUGACACAGAUAAAAUGUUUAAAAAUGCACAAACUCGUCAUAUUUCAAUGACGGGAAAGCUGGGCAAGCGCAUUCUGAUCAUUCCUGCACUGACAAAGUAACACCUCUUGGUGAAUGAAUGCAGCGUGAUGAUGCUGUGGGGUAUCUUCGUCAAUGGGUUUCUCAACGUACGCCGAUCCAAAGGAGAUGAUUUGGCACAUUUUUUUUGACAGUGUAGCUGUACUUGUCAUCUAACAAAUGUUCCUUUCAAAUGUGUCAUUCAUUUAGGAAGAACUAAACAGGCCUUUGUUUUGGGAAGUAGGAGUCCAUAAGAUUUUUUUGCAACUAUGCGAUUCAAGAUUACUGGACCUGGUAACAUGGUUUUCUGUUCUCAUUAGAAAAUAAUGAUCUCGGUAAAAUUAUAACGUGGUUCUCAAUCAACCUUUAUAAGACAGCUAGCUGACAGAAAAUCUGUUUCUAACACUCAAUUGUUGUAAAAAGCAUGAAAGCAGUGAGCGCUUUUUGAAAAUGAAGUUGUAUUCAUCUGUAUUUAUUCGGAAGGGAGGGAAUCUCUCACUUUUUGAUGGCCA